AAUUUGAAAUCUGGCCCCUUCGGGGUCCGAGUUGUAAUUUGUAGAGAGUGCUUCGGGGGAGACUGCGGUCUAAGUCCAUUGGAACAUGGCGUCACAGAGGGUGAGAAUCCCGUAUGUGACCGUGGCUCGAACCCAUGUGAAGCCUCUUCGACGAGUCGAGUUGUUUGGGAAUGCAGCUCAAAAUGGGUGGUAAAUUUCAUCUAAAGCUAAAUACUGGCUGGAGACCGAUAGCGCACAAGUAGAGUGAUCGAAAGAUGAAAAGCACUUUGGAAAGAGAGUUAAAAAGUACGUGAAAUUGUUGAAAGGGAAGCGCUGGCAACCAGACCUGCCCGUAGGUGAUCAGCCGCUGUUCUCAGCGGUGCACUCGCUCUGCGAUCAGGCCAGCAUCGGUUCCGGCGGUCGGAUAAAGGCCUUGGGAAUGUACCUUCCCUUCGGGGGAGUCUUAUAGCCCUCGGUGCAAUGCGGCCAGCCGGGACCGAGGACCGCGCUUCGGCUAGGAUGCUGGCGUAAUGGUUGUCAGCGACCC
rnacentral:rRNA from 2 species